rnacentral:rRNA from 1 species
UGAGCGGCGGACGGGUGAGUAACACGUAAAGAACCUGCCCUCAGGUCUGGGAUAACCACGAGAAAUCGGGGCUAAUACCGGAUGGGUCAUCGGACCGCAUGGUCCGAGGAUGAAAGGCGCUUCGGCGUCGCCUGGGGAUGGCUUUGCGGUGCAUUAGCUAGUUGGUGGGGUAAUGGCCCACCAAGGCGACGAUGCAUAGCCGACCUGAGAGGGUGAUCGGCCACACUGGGACUGAGACACGGCCCAGACUCCUACGGGAGGCAGCAGUAGGGAAUCUUCCACAAUGGACGAAAGUCUGAUGGAGCAACGCCGCGUGAACGAUGAAGGCCUUCGGGUCGUAAAGUUCUGUUGUAAGGGAAGAACAAGUGCCGCAGGCAAUGGCGGCACCUUGACGGUACCUUGCGAGAAAGCCACGGCUAACUACGUGCCAGCAGCCGCGGUAAUACGUAGGUGGCAAGCGUUGUCCGGAAUUAUUGGGCGUAAAGCGCGCGCAGGCGGCCUCUUAAGUCUGAUGUGAAAGCCCCCGGCUCAACCGGGGAGGGCCAUUGGAAACUGGGAGGCUUGAGUAUAGGAGAGAAGAGUGGAAUUCCACGUGUAGCGGUGAAAUGCGUAGAGAUGUGGAGGAACACCAGUGGCGAAGGCGACUCUUUGGCCUAUAACUGA